rnacentral:misc_RNA from 1 species
ACAAAUCUAAACAUAUUGUUGCUUGGCGCUUGCGCCGGGUAUACAACAUAUCAACCUGUGAAUAGACAGCGCAAGCUGUUAUCAAGUGAAAACUUGAUACAACAACAUACAUAAACGUCUAAAGAAUGUCUUAACAAAACAAAAAAAGUA